AUUGAACGCUGGCGGCAUGCUUUACACAUGCAAGUCGAACGGUAGAGGGGGCAACCCCUUGAGAGUGGCGAACGGGUGAGUAAUGCAUCGGAACGUGCCCAGUCGUGGGGGAUAACGCAGCGAAAGCUGUGCUAAUACCGCAUACGAUCUCUGGAUGAAAGCGGGGGACCGAAAGGCCUCGCGCGAUUGGAGCGGCCGAUGUCAGAUUAGGUAGUUGGUGGGGGAAAGGCCUACCAAGCCAACGAUCUGUAGCUGGUCUGAGAGGACGACCAGCCACACUGGGACUGAGACACGGCCCAGACUCCUACGGGCGGCAGCAGUGGGGAAUUUUGGACAAUGGGCGCAAGCCUGAUCCAGCAAUGCCGCGUGCAGGAAGAAGGCCUUCGGGUUGUGAACUGCUUUUGUACGGAACGAAACGGUCUGGGUUAAUACCCUGGGCUAAUGACGGUACCGUAAGAAUAAGCACCGGCUAACUACGUGCCAGCCGCCGCGGUAA
rnacentral:rRNA from 1 species